rnacentral:rRNA from 1 species
GGGAAGCAAAGCCGCGAGGUGGAGCAAACCCCCAAAAGCGGUCCCAGUUCGGAUUGUAGGCUGCAACCCGCCUACAUGAAGUUGGAAUUGCUAGUAAUCGCAGAUCAGAAUGCUGCGGUGAAUACGUUCCCGGGCCUUGUACACACCGCCCGUCACACCAUGGGAGCCGGUAAUACCCGAAGUCAGUAGCCUAACCGCAAGGGGGACGCUGCCGAAGGUAGGAUUGGCGACUGGGGUGAAGUCGUAACAAGGUACC